rnacentral:tRNA from 1 species
UCCCUGGUGGCUCAGAGGUUAAAGCGUCUGCCUUGCAAUGCAGGAGACCUGGGUUCGAUCCCUGGGUCGGGAA